GACGUAGGGGGCCAGCGUUGCUCGGAAUCACUGGGCGUAAAGCGCACGUAGGCGGAUUGCUAAGUCAGGGGUGAAAUCCUGGAGCUCAACUCCAGAACUGCCUUUGAUACUGGCGACCUUGAGUCCGGGAGAGGUGAGUGGAACUGCGAGUGUAGAGGUGAAAUUCGUAGAUAUUCGCAAGAACACCAGUGGCGAAGGCGGCUCACUGGCCCGGUACUGACGCUGAGGUGCGAAAGCGUGGGGAGCAAACAGG
rnacentral:rRNA from 1 species